UACGUAGGGUGCAAGCGUAAAUCGGAAUUACUGGGCGUAAAGCGUGCGCAGGCGGUUUUGCAAGCCAGAUGUGAAAUCCCCGGGCUCAACCUGGGAACUGCAUUUGUGACUGCAUAGCUGGAGUGCGGCAGAGGGGGAUGGAAUUCCGCGUGUAGCAGUGAAAUGCGUAGAUAUGCGGAGGAACACCGAUGGCGAAGGCAAUCCCCUGGGCCUGCACUGACGCUCAUGCACGAAAGCGUGGGGAGCAAACAGG
rnacentral:rRNA from 1 species